rnacentral:rRNA from 1 species
UGCAAGUCGAGCGGACAGAUGGGAGCUUGCUCCCUGAUGUUAGCGGCGGACGGGUGAGUAACACGUGGGUAACCUGCCUGUAAGACUGGGAUAACUCCGGGAAACCGGGGCUAAUACCGGAUGGUUGUUUGAACCGCAUGGUUCAAACAUAAAAGGUGGCUUCGGCUACCACUUACAGAUGGACCCGCGGCGCAUUAGCUAGUUGGUGAGGUAACGGCUCACCAAGGCGACGAUGCGUAGCCGACCUGAGAGGGUGAUCGGCCACACUGGGACUGAGACACGGCCCAGACUCCUACGGGAGGCAGCAGUAGGGAAUCUUCCGCAAUGGACGAAAGUCUGACGGAGCAACGCCGCGUGAGUGAUGAAGGUUUUCGGAUCGUAAAGCUCUGUUGUUAGGGAAGAACAAGUGCCGUUCAAAUAGGGCGGCACCUUGACGGUACCUAACCAGAAAGCCACGGCUAACUACGUGCCAGCAGCCGCGGUAAUACGUAGGUGGCAAGCGUUGUCCGGAAUUAUUGGGCGUAAAGGGCUCGCAGGCGGUUUCUUAAGUCUGAUGUGAAAGCCCCCGGCUCAACCGGGGAGGGUCAUUGGAAACUGGGGAACUUGAGUGCAGAAGAGGAGAGUGGAAUUCCACGUGUAGCGGUGAAAUGCGUAGAGAUGUGGAGGAACACCAGUGGCGAAGGCGACUCUCUGGUCUGUAACUGACGCUGAGGAGCGAAAGCGUGGGGAGCGAACAGGAUUAGAUACCCUGGUAGUCCACGCCGUAAACGAUGAGUGCUAAGUGUUAGGGGGUUUCCGCCCCCUUAUUGCUGCAGCUAACGCAUUAAGCACUCCGCCUGGGGAGUACGGUCGCAAGACUGAAACUCAAAGGAAUUGACGGGGGCCCGCACAAGCGGUGGAGCAUGUGGUUUAUU